CGCUUCCGCCAUCUUUCCAGCCUCAGUCGGACGGGCGCGGAGACGCUUCUGGAAGGUAUCGCGACCCGGCGGGCCCGGCACGGCCGGGCGGGGACAGGGGUGGCGGCGGCGGGAUAGGGGUCGGAGCCGGGGCCAGGGCCGGGGCGGGUGGCGGACCCAGGGGCAGCGGGCGGCUGAGUAGGUGGGUGGUGCGGGCCCGGCCGGGCCGGGGCAGGAGACGGGCGUGGGGUCGGCGCUAGCCCCCGCGAACCCCCGUUUCAUCCUCCGCUCUCAUCCCCGUCCCGGUCCCAGUCCCGUUCCCAUCCCUACACCUCCGGCCGCCGUUCCCCGGGCCCCGCCGCCCCGGAUGCCGGCCCCGCCCGCCGCCUUCCCGCUCCCAGGCCUGGCCGCCAUGGCGCCGCGGGCGGGAGGCCUUUGUGGGGCGGGCACGUGGGGCGCUGGGGGCGCGGGAGCGGGGCCGCCAUGGGCUGCGGGGCCGCGCGAGCGCUCGCCUCCGUCCUCUGCCUCCGCAGGAACGCCGCGAUGGCUGCGCAGGGAGAGCCCCAGGUCCAGUUCAAAGUAGGUAACCCUGCGGGGCGGGAGGCGGCCGAGCCCGACCGCGUGCGACUCGCGGGUCCCUCCUCCUGGGGCCACGAUGGCUGUAAUGGGGCCCCGCAUCCACAUUCUUUGUUUUAAGUGAGCCUGUGGUGGUUAAAGUUCCGUGACUCUGGGAUCUUGAGAGGUGAAGUGUUUAGGGUUUACUUCCAAAAUGUGUUUUUCAACAGCUUGUAUUGGUUGGUGAUGGUGGUACUGGAAAAACGACCUUCGUGAAACGUCAUUUGACUGGUGAAUUUGAGAAGAAGUUGCUCAGACAACUGCUCUCCCGGAUGAGGAUGAUGACCUGUGAGAAUGAAGCUGGAGCCCAGCGUCAGAAGUCUAGUUUUAUAGGCAGCUGUCCUGUGAUGUCAGCGGUGCAGCGUGUGUGCCACCUCAUUAUUAUCUAGCUAAGCGGAACAUGUGCUUCAUCUGUGGGAUGCUGAAGGAGAUGAGUGGGCUUCGGAGUGAAUGUGGCAGUUUAAAAAAUAACUUCAUUGUUUGGACCUGCAUAUUUAGCUGUUUUGGAACGCAGUUGAUUCCUUGAGUUUCAUAUAUAAGACUGCUGCAGUCACAUCACAAUAUUCAGUGGUGAAAUCUUGUUUGUUACUGUCAUUCCCAUUCCUUUUCGUUUAGAAUCAGAAUAAAGUUGUAUUUCAAAUAUCU
rnacentral:lncRNA from 10 species